GUGGCAGCCAGCAUCCUCCGGGCUGCGGGAUGCUGGUGGCCGAUGGAGCUGUGACACGGCGAGCUCCGGCUGGGGAGCACCGGGACAGCCACGGAUCCAGGAUUCACCUGUGGGGCCAUGUGGAGCCAGCUCCCAACCAGGCACUGGUCACUCAGAUCCCAUCAGCUGCCACAGGCAGGUUCUGGUGCUGGCUGCCAAUGCACACAACCAGUGGAGCAAAUGAGAGCCUGUUUCAACUUGCAAGGGUGCAAAACUCAGCAUGAGGAGAGCAGGCAGACCAAGAUCCUCAUGAUGUGGUUGAAGUGCUGAAUCUGGCAGCAGUGUUAAUCAAGAGCAAGGUCAUGCAACUCAUUCAAAUAUCCAGCCAUGAUUCUCUAGUGCCCACUUGAUAUUAGAUUUUAUAUCAACUCACCUGCAGAAAUAUAUGAAAUUUGUGCAAAAAAAAAUCCAUCUUUUUAGCUCUCUUCAUUUACAGGCAUUAUUAUUUCAACAGAAUAUAAUUAGCAAAAGUGCUUCUUGUAUUUUUUGGGAACAUAAUAGUUCCAGUUACUUAGACAGAAAAAAAAUUAGAAUAAAACUAGCUAGCUAAAGAAUUGUCUGUUAAAACCACAGACAUCAAUUAAACUCAUUGUUGAUUUGAGGCUCAGUAAAUCCAAAAGAAUAGAUCCUCAGGACAAAAGCUCUCAGUAUGAAAAUCACUGUAACAUCUGUGAGGUCUCACAACACCACUGCGCCUUUAUGAAGCCAAAUAUCCAAAUUAAAAGGCUUAACUUUGGCACUGAGAAAGAUCACACUUUAUUUUGGGGCCAUCUCCAGAGGUCUAUUAACCUUUCAAGACACUGUGAAUAAACACUCAUACACAAGCGACAAAAACUAAGAGGACCCUGAACUACUCCUCCAUAGGUAAGGUUACUUAUUGGAGAAAAGCAAGUUGAGACACAUGUGUGUGAAACUGGUUGUGUAACUGAGUCCUUUUCUGAGGAGACAUUUAAAGGGGAUCCAUAAAUCUGCGCUUCAGUAAUGUUAUCACAGCCUCCCGUUUGCAAAGGCGUGAAUUCAAACUCUGAAAAUUGGGAAAAAUACUUGUACUCUGUGUACACCCAGCACCUCUCCCACCCUCGUGACAAGCAAAGCUGGAUCAGCACGUGAACAGCCCCCAAAGUCAUCCUAUCGCUCUGGAUUGGUUAAAAAUUACAUCCUCUGUAUUGACCCCAGCUCCAGGGGAGUUAAUGCUUUCAGCACAGCCUCCGCUGUGGCACAAUGUUUGCAUUGUAACAUUUCAGAGAGAAAUGCCAUUGUAAAUUGAAAGUGUAAACCCUGGAGUGGAGAGAGCGGCUCUGUAGGAGCAGGAGCACAUUCCCUCCUGGUGCCUUCCCUGCAGUCUCCAUCCUGGCACAGACCAAGGGCACAGGGGGAUGCCCAGCUCUGGAUCAUGGACAUGCCUGCAUGGAUCAAAGUCUACCCCACACAGCUGGCCUUGGGAAGGAAUUUAUUUUGCAUUUAUAAACAACCAGAAAAUUCCUUCAAUGCAGUAGUGGAAUCUUUAUUACUACUUUUAAUCCUUUGUAGUACUGCAUGACAGAAGACUCUUUGAGGUUGUAUAGGCUAUUUCAUGUCUGUUUACAAAAUGAAGAGACUAAGUGUCAGAGGAUAUACGAUCAAAACACAUGGUACCUACAAACAGUAGACUGGAGUGAAAUACCAUGUGUGUGCAUGUAGAACCCACUGACACCACCAGGGCAGCAUCUUUAUGACUUUUCUCCUCCCAUGCUAUAGGAAUUUGCAUGGCUGAUGAGGAUAUCUUCACACAAAGCAAUCUGAAAAGCUGAUUUCAAUCAGUGGCGUAAUCAAAGCCUCAGUAUUGCAAAAUAAUAUGAUUAAACACUCCAUUAUUUCAAACGCCACAGCACUAAGCAGAUCCUUGGAGGGGAGUGCUUUUGUGCACUAAUCCAUGCAUGUAAUUAUCGAUAUGCUUUCCCAUGCCCUAUUCAAAUGCUCUCCCCUGAGGCUUUUCUUCCACUUACACUAGGGGAGAAAAAAAAAAAAGAAAAAAAAAAGCCAAUCAGUUCAGUUUAAAGAACAAGUUGUAUAACUCUUUUUGAUCUACUGCCUGAAGGAUCAAGUAAGAAAUUCUACCAGCUGUAACCUCAGAAGCAAAGGAUAGGGCUCGGCUUGUCGCGGUGGCCAGCAGCACGGGCAGGACACGGCUGUGCCCUGUGCUGGGACACGCUGCCACAGCACCUGGGGUGACAACACCCUCAGGUCUCAGCACUCCACGAGACUGCAAGGGAAAGGCUACCAACAGAUGCUUUCAUACGAGGCAGAAUGUCUUUAAUGAAACUGAGGGAUGUAAAAAUGAAAAGCAAUUAAAGGAUAAGCAAUUUGCUCUGUAAGAGAUUAGAAAGAUGCAAAGCAAUGCCCACACUGGGUUUUCAGCACGUGUAUUGACUUGUCUCUGCUGAGAGCACCACCAGGCUGGCAACAGCGCUGCCAUGUUUAAAUGGAUUUGAUCCUACCAGCCUCCUUCUAGAUCCAGAAGACAAAAAUCACCAGAUGUGGUCAAAAGGAAGAAAGGCAGUGCAUU